rnacentral:rRNA from 1 species
UACGAAGGGGGCUAGCGUUGCUCGGAAUCACUGGGCGUAAAGGGUGCGUAGGCGGGUCUUUAAGUUAGGGGUGAAAUCCUGGAGCUCAACUCCAGAACUGCCUUUGAUACUGAGGAUCUUGAGUUCGGGAGAGGUGAGUGGAACUGCGAGUGUAGAGGUGAAAUUCGUAGAUAUUCGCAAGAACACCAGUGGCGAAGGCGGCUCACUGGCCCGAUACUGACGCUGAGGCACGAAAGCGUGGGGAGCAAACAGG